CUUCUCUGUGGCUUAAGAAGGCACUUGUAAUGGUCUAGAGGCUUUUUAGGUGGUCAGGAGAGCCGAGAGUCUACCUGAGGACAGUGCAAUGGACACCUGGCCCAUGCCACGGAUCCUACACUCUACCAGAAGGCCAGCAACAGCCACAUCUAGGACAGAGGACACAAGCCUUGCUGUUCUCCAGACGACUCUUAGGUUGCAGACACUCAGCUGCGUGCUACCUAGACCUUCGGUCCUCUUGCUUCAGUGUCCGGCCAAGCCUGCAGCAGAUUUUACCUCUUCCCCUAACGAAUGGGACAUCAUUCGGGCAGGUUCCCCAGCGUCUGGGCGUUUCCAGAAAGGGUCAGGGAUCUAGCCGGUCGCAUCCCGCCCCGCUGCUUAACGGGCAGGGCCUGGAGGGAGCCCUGCUGCCCUUCUGAGGACUCACUGAGGUCGCAUUGAUCGUCAGACACGGUGGUACCGAACGGGCAGUGAGCUGGGGCGCAGGCUGGGCCCGGAGAAGCGGCACAGCACGGCCC